rnacentral:lncRNA from 1 species
AAAGUGCACAUCACCAAAUAAUCUCUCAAAUUCUCACAUUACCAAAUAAUCUCUCAAAUUCACAAGUGCGUAUCAUAGCAAUAGCACAACAUUUGUUUAGAUAAUAGGCUAUUGCCCGACCUUUGAUUGAGGCUCUCAGAUUCAAGAUUCAAGUAUAGACCAAUCACAGUUGCAACUACAUUAUAGAAGAGAGGUAUCAGCACCUUGAAAAACAUCCACAAAACAUCAAGGGAGACGCAAGGUUCAGAAACUAGUCGGUUCACUGACCCAGCAAGAAACUUAUUACAUCGCACCUCAUGUGAGACAAGGUGACAUAACGCCCAGAGACUGAAGACCAGAGCACCACGCAGACCAGAGCAUCACACAACAUCAAGUAACCACAGGUACAACCAUGCAUCAUCUUCCAGUCUUCACCUCAAUGUUCUGGGAAUAAUCUUUCAUUCUUCACCUCAAUGUUCUAGGCAUCAUCUUCUAGGCUUCGGUUAUGAUGGAAUCAGACUCGCCCUUGAAGUGAACAUAACAAAAGAACAACUAUUAAAAUCAUGGAAAUAAACAGAACAAACAUUGCAAGUUUGCAACAUUUAAAAGUGGAAUUUCAUGAGUGGAAUAUGUUACCAUAUUUUCUUCUUCAUCAUCAAGAACACUUUGAAAUUCCGCAAAUAGAGUGGAGUUGCUAUUCCCUAAUGCCAAUAUUUAGAUGUUGGGCUACCAGCUAAGUUAAAAUUUCCAGGGCUAAACACAAGAGGGCCUUGUGCUCUAUCAUGAGAAGCUACUGAUCCAUACAAGCAAAAAAACACCGUCUUCAGUUUCAAUUAAAGUUAGAC